rnacentral:lncRNA from 1 species
AUGAGACGACUAGGGAGCCAGUCAUGGUUUCAGAGAUGUCCAGUUCACCCAAAAGACAUUUUGAAGAUGAAGAAGAAACAGAAGAAUAACACAACGGGGCCAUUAUGGAGGUGGACGCAGACAAGAGGAACCCUAUGCUCAUCAUCCUCAAGAGACGAGGAAGAGAAACGGAGGAGGGAGAGCGUGUGGGUGGAUGUGUGGGCAUGAGCUGGAUCCUAAUCAGCUUUCCAGGGAACUCUCACUCUCUCUCUAUCUAGGUCUCUUUCUAUACCUCUUGAUCACCCCCUCAUCUUCUCUUUCUAUUUCUCCUUUUUCAUUGCAGUGACACCUGCCCAUUCAUGUGGGUUACACUCUCUAUGACUCAUUCAUAAGCACUGGCUCAGUCUCUAAACAAGUUCCCACUUUCCUCUGCCUACCCGGUGCACCACCUCGCAUCUUGCUCCCUAUGCAACCAUUACCAUUCAUCAUAGUGAAUGUAAAAGAGGGUUGGGGAUAACAUGGCAGGAAGCAUUGGCAUCCUCUGACUAGGGGGAAAGGUACCAACGAUCAGGAAGGUUUGAAAUUUGCAGACUUAUCUGAAUGUCCAUCCGCGGUUUAUCUGAUUCCAAGUGUGCUCAAACGAAGAUGAUACUCUUCAUGUGACGUCAGAACAAACACAGAAAGGAAGAGAUAAGAUAAAGGUUGCUUUCUUUACUCAGUUCAGUUUCAUUUAGUUUUUAGUCUUGUCUUAAAGAGAAACAUAAUAUACACAAUAAAUAUAUGAAUGUAUUUAGACCCAGUUUGUAGGGGGGGUGGGGAGUAGCUCUGAUAAUUUGGUCUUGGUGGUAUGAGAAAUAUUUGUUGAGAGAGAGAGACACACACACACACACACACACACAUAUGUGCACAUAUACAUAUUGGAGAAACAAAUGAGAUAUGGAAGACAUCUCCGUUGUAAUUUUCCUUUCCUAUGGAACCCGGAUCGUUUUUUGGCACAGAUUCCGAUGCUUCUGAAGUCUGGUAUGUCAAAAAGUCCAGGAACCAGAUUUGAACAUUUUCAGCACGGCUUAAUUAGAGAGGAGAGCCUGAGUGACCUUCUGAUAAAAGUGUGUCUUAUCUAGUAUGAGUCAACGGUGUCUCCCACGCACUUUAUCCCUCGCAGAAGGGAAUGGGCCGAUUGAAAUGUUGAUGCUGUGCUCUUGCAAAGUACCAUUCUGUCUGCUGAUGGGAUGGGGUGGGGAGUGAGUUACAUUUCAUCUCCAUUAAUUUGUGCAUUGCUGGUGACUCACUGGCCAUCUCUGCCUAAUGGAUUGCACAGGAUAUUGUGUUUCACGAAGCAGAGAUAUUUCAGACAUUAUUUUUUCCUGUGACUUCGACUCUCAUAGCGGUUCUGGGCACAGUCGACGCUUCCAUUAUAGGAAUAAAUGAACAAUGUGCAGAUAAGUCUGCAAGGGCAACCCAUCCCCUCGUCUCUAGAUAGUUUGCUUUAAGUAGACCUCUACGAAAUGACUGCAUUAGAAGACGCUUUCCACUGAAACCAUAUGUGCUGUCACUAUGAUGAUGAGAAGCACAUCGUAUUCUGUAGCCUGGAGCAGGGCAUAUGUACACCAAGCAUGCUUCACAGGGUACAGUCAUCCUAAUGAGUGCCAAGCUCUGAAGAGUGAGCCGAGGCUUUUUUACUCUUAGCCUUACUUUCUGAAGUACUGAAU